rnacentral:rRNA from 1 species
AUUGAACGCUGGCGGCAUGCCUUACACAUGCAAGUCGAACGGUAACGGGCCUUCGGGUGCCGACGAGUGGCGAACGGGUGAGUAAUACAUCGGAACGUGCCCGAUCGUGGGGGAUAACGAGGCGAAAGCUUUGCUAAUACCGCAUACGAUCUACGGAUGAAAGCAGGGGACCGCAAGGCCUUGCGCGGACGGAGCGGCCGAUGGCAGAUUAGGUAGUUGGUGGGAUAAAAGCUUACCAAGCCGACGAUCUGGAGCUGGUCUGAGAGGAUGAUCAGCCACACUGGAACUGAGACACGGCCCAGACUCCUACGGGAGGCAGCAGUGGGGAAUUUUGGACAAUGGGCGCAAGCCUGGUCCAGCCAUGCCGCGUGCAGGAUGAAGGCCUUCGGGUUGUAAACUGCUUUUGUACGGAACGAAAAGCCUUCUUUUAAUACAGGAGGGUCAUGACGGUACCGUAAGAAUAAGCACCGGCUAACUACGUG